rnacentral:lncRNA from 1 species
UCCCAACAAGGCUGCUGAGCAGCUCUUGAUCCAGCCUGUGUCCUGCAGAUGCUUUCACAGGAGGCAGGGCAGCAGCCUAACAAGCUCUGUUCUGUGCGGGCAGGAGCGGGAGACCGGAUCUGUGCCACUGAAGGUGGGAAGAGGAGUACACAGUUCGGAUACAGCUACAAGAGCGAGUCACUGAGCUCCAGGAGGAGGCCCAAGAGGCCGACGCCUGCCAAGAGGAGCUCGCCAUGAAGGUGGAGCAACUGAAAGCUGAACUGGUGGUCUUCAAGGGGCUCAUGAGCAAUAAUCUGACAGAGCUGGACACCAAGAUCCAGGAGAAGGCCAUGAAGGUAGACAUGGACAUCUGCCGCCGCAUUGACAUCACGGCCAAGCUCUGCGACCUGGCUCAGCAGCGCAACUGUGAGGAUGUGAUCCAGAUGUUCCAGAAGAAGCUGGUUAGUGUGACCUCACGCAAGCUUAUUGUCCCAGUCCCUGUCUCUAAGCCACCCCGCCCUCAGUUUUGAACCACUGGGCCCUUCCAAAAAGAUGCCUUCUUCCUUUCUGUUUUCCUUGCUCCUCCGUUUUUAGUCUCUUCCUUCUCCUUCUCCCAGCGGCCUUCCAGAUCUGGAUGUGACUUAAGCGCUCCCAUAGUAAACACAAGUCUCUCAUCUUCCUCGCAGCUAGAACUGGGUUCAGCUGAGCCCUCCCUCUAAUGAGAAAGACUUCAGAACCAAACCUGACCCGAUUCCUCUGCACUUAAUGAACACGACCUUUUGCUUUUUCUAAAGAUUUAUUUUCUGUGUAUGGAUAUUUUGCCUCCAUAAUGUCUGCACACCACAUGAGUGCCUUCUGCCCAAGGAUACCAGAAGAGGGCAUUGGAUUCCCUUGGAACUGGACUUAUGGAGGGCACUGAGCCGCCACGUGGCUGCUGGGAAUUGAACCAGGGUCCUCUGGAAGAGCAUCCAGUGCCCUUAACCGCUGAGCCACCUCUCCAGCCCUCAUUCAGCCCUUCAUACUGUGGUCAUCACCAGCCGUUUCUCUCGUCUCACUGCUCUACUCCUGUUCCUCCUCCUCCACUCUUCGCCUGCAGCCCUGCCCUAUCUGCGUGUGUCUGCCUGUUUCUGUCCCUGUCGUGUAACUGUCUCUUCUCUGUCCUCCUUCCUGCUGGCCCCCCUCACCCUGCGGCCUCCCUGCCCACCCUCUCCUCAUGCACCCGGCCUCGCCUCUGUAGUCUCUACACUUGUCUCCCAUUAAGGUCCCGUCCAUGGGGGGGCGGAAGCGGGAACGCAAGGCUGCUGUGGAGGAGGACACCUCCCUGUCGGAGAGUGAUGGGCCCCGCCAGCCUGAGGGGGACGAGGAGGAGAGCACAGCCCUCAGCAUCAACGAGGAGAUGCAGCGCAUGCUCAGCCAGCUGAGGGAGUAUGAUUUUGAGGACGACUGUGACAGCCUGACGUGGGAGGAGACUGAGGAGACCUUGCUGCUUUGGGAGGAUUUCUCAGGCUAUGCCAUGGCGGCCGCAGAGGCCCAGGGAGAGCAGGAGGACAGCUUGGAGAAGGUGAUCAAAGAUACUGAGUCCCUGUUCAAAACCCGGGAGAAGGAGUACCAGGAGACCAUUGACCAGAUAGAGCUGGAGCUGGCCACGGCCAAGAGCGACAUGAACCGCCACCUGCAUGAGUACAUGGAGAUGUGCAGCAUGAAGCGGGGGCUGGACGUGCAGAUGGAGACCUGCCGCCGCCUUAUCACACAGUCCGGAGACCGAAAGUCUCCUGCUUUCACUGCGGUCCCGCUUAGCGACCCGCCGCCGCCGCCAAGCGAGACUGAGGACUCCGAUCGAGAUGUCUCAUCUGACAGCUCCAUGAGAUAGGAACCAGGGCCUGGUGCCCCAGAGCUCUCUGGGGCAGGGGUGUGGGUCUGCAGAGGACCAUCUUCUGUGCCACCGCAUGAA